GCACGCACGGAUCCCGGGCGGGGUGGGGGAGAGCUGGGGCCAUCAGGGGGCCCAGGCUCUGGUCCCUUCUCCUGACCCCCAGGCCAGGGCUGGCCCUGGGCAGAGGCAGAGUGAGGGGGGGAUUGAUAGAAAGAGCCUGACCCAGCCCCAUGCCUGGUGCCUCUGUUCCUUUGGGCUAAGGCAUUUCCCCCCAAUCUCGAGUAGCAUUGCAAAUAUUUCCGAUCUGGGCAGUCGUUAACACAAUGUUAUGGGUUCUCUGUUCAGCUGGGAGAUCGCUCAGGAGAGGGACAGAAGAGGGAUUCCCGGUGGCUCUGUUUCUCUGGGGUCAGGGCUAUUCCAUCAGUCAAAUCUGCACACGGAGAUGUGUACCAUGCCAGACAGCGGGCAAUGUGGAGACGAACCCCAAGGCUCCUAUCCUCAAGAGCCCACGAGACACUGUGCCACUUUGGACUGAAAAAGGAGAUCAAGCGCUGAGUAAGACAGAGAAGGUCCCUGCCCUCUGGGUCCUUGUGAGCAAGGGGUGGGGGGUGGAUAUAAACCAGGAGCUAAAUAACUGAUUAACCAACUGGCUAAGUCACGAACAUUUUUAGUCAAUUAUAUUUGCUACAACGUAUGACAGCCUGUGUGCGCUGUGGGGAGGGAGGCCUGAGGAGGGUGGAGGCGUUAGGAAGGGCCUCGCUGCAAGCAGAGCAGGGAGGACGAGAGGCAGCCGGCCACGCAGCCUCUGCAGGAGGAGUCCUCGGGGAAGCAGCUGGCACCAGGCCCCGGGGGACCAGACACGUUCAAGGCCUGGGUGUCUUGGAAGUUCCCAGGGGAGCGGGGGAGCUGAUGCUGAAGAGUGAGUGGGGAGCUGGCCUCAGAAGCCUGUGGACUGUGGUCUGGGGUCUGCAGAGAUGGUUGAAUGGUUCUGAGUUCCAGCACGUUAGACCGGAUCACCUGGACGCUUUCCUGCCUAAGGUCACAAUUAGUCCCAGAGACCUUCCCGGAAGUGAGCCUGCAUUCAGGGACAAAAGGAUGCACCGUGGCAGAGGAGGCCCGCAGGGGCUGAGAGCCCGCUGACAGCCAGCACGCCGGGGCACCGACUUUCAUCAUUACCGUGGUUGUGGUCUCUGACGUCCAGGGCGGGGCUCUCCUGUUCCUCCCUCCUGCUCCCCACCUCUCUCUCUGUGCAGUGUGGGGGGUUUUGUCCUGGAUGCCCUGCCGCCCACCUCGCUCCUGAGUGCUCUCCUCCUCGAGGCCCUCCUGAUGUGGGAAGGCAAUGGACGCUGGCCCUGGGGCGACACCU